UUAAGUUCAGCGCGUAUUCCUACCUGAUCCGAGGUCAACCUUAGAAGUUUCCUGGUGAGAGGAGAAGACCGGGUCCCGGGCGCCCUUAAGUCCGAUACGUGCUCCGUGAAAAGCUCAGUGUACCGGGGGAACCACAGGCCGCCGUCAUUGUCUUUCGGAGGGGUCGAUCGCUCGACCGGCCGUCCAACGCCAAGCACGGG
rnacentral:misc_RNA from 1 species